rnacentral:sRNA from 2 species
GUCGGGCGGACGCCGAAUCCUGCCACCACCCGACAACACCCACCUAGCACCACGGCAGGAGCGGGGGAACCAGGUAAGUCGCCGGACCGGACGUCUUCGGACAUACCGGCACGGCUUGGGGUGAAGUCGCGCCUUUCGCAGGCGUGGCCGGGCAGCUCCCGCCCGAACCCGACAGCUCACCUCGCAGGCGACGGAGAGGAACU